CCCAUUAGCUUCACAGAUCCAGAACGGCGCAAUUAGGGUUUCACUGACCCCCUCCUGUCUUCUAUAAAACUAAGCCACAGCUCUCCUUGUUAUAAUACCCUGCCUCUUCUCCUCUUCCUCCAAUGGCGUCUGUAAUAAUCAUCGGAAUCACACCCGAGCCUCUCUGACGCUCAACCGAGCAAAUGCACCUGUUCAAAAUCACGAUAUGAACUUUCAAAUUAUUGAUCUGAGCACUAUUGAGUUCCAGUGCUCUAUGUCACUGUUCCCCACAUGCCAGAUUUGGUUAGCAGCCUUGAUUAAGUACAACAAAGAAAUGUGAUGAACAAUUAUCAAAGAUCAAAGGAUCUUUGUGUGAUGAUUAAACAAGUUGCUAUCUUGCAUGCAAUUGUAUCAAUUGGCCCUUGUGGUUUCAACUAGAAAAGCUUGCUCAACACACCCAUUUCCAGAUUAGUACUUGUGUAUUAUGAGAAAAUACUCCAGAAGUUGGCAAAAAUGUCCAUACGCUUAAAAUUAGUCUGAUUCAUUACUGUAAUGUAUAAGAAAGUGUGUUUCUGAAAUGAGACGUUUCUUCUUGCAUUUUGUUUGAAUUGAAAAAUGAACUAUGAUACUAUCUUUUAUUAA